GACGAGCGCUGGCGGCGUGCUUAACACAUGCAAGUCGAACGGAAAGGCCCUGCUUGCAGGGUACUCGAGUGGCGAACGGGUGAGUAACACGUGGGUGAUCUGCCCUGCACUUCGGGAUAAGCCUGGGAAACUGGGUCUAAUACCGGAUAGGAGCCAUUUUUAGUGUGAUGGUUGGAAAGUUUUUUCGGUGUAGGAUGAGCUCGCGGCCUAUCAGCUUGUUGGUGGGGUAAUGGCCUACCAAGGCGGCGACGGGUAGCCGGCCUGAGAGGGUGGACGGCCACAUUGGGACUGAGAUACGGCCCAGACUCCUACGGGAGGCAGCAGUGGGGAAUAUUGCACAAUGGGCGCAAGCCUGAUGCAGCGACGCCGCGUGGGGGAUGACGGCCUUCGGGUUGUAAACUCCUUUCGCUAGGGACGAAGCUUUUUGUGACGGUACCUAGAUAAGAAGCACCGGCUAACUACGU
rnacentral:rRNA from 1 species